rnacentral:lncRNA from 1 species
UAUCAGACACCAGAUAUACAACCGCAACACAAUCUAAUGUGACAACAUGCCAUGGGGACUCACUACAACAGAAUUAGGUUAUAGGGACACAUGUUUGGGACAUUUUUGAGUAAGUGUCCCAUUUAUGCUAAAACUUAAAAAAAUAUCUGCUAAUGCCUAAAUAUAAAGCCCAAUCCAACCAAAAAUAAAAGAUUACUCUACUCAACCCACCACACCCAGUUCAUUUGGCCCGAUUACAAACAGAAAAGAAAAAAAAAAAGAAAAAUCAAUUACCAUCUUUUCUUCUCUCUUCACUCAAUCCACUGAAAUUCUAGACGAAGAGCCUUUCCUGUCGUCCUCCUCCGCCACCGCAGCCAACGAGAUAAAAUUUCGGCGGUUGCUAAAUGCUUAAAUAAGUGUUCGUAAAUUAGCAGCACUCUUUUAGGUUAUAGCGACACUCUUUAACUGUCAAUAUAUACCUAGCGACCCCACAUAUAGUAACACUUUUUAAAAGUGUCGGUAAUUUUAGCUAGCAGCACUUUUUUGACAUGUACCUAUAUUUAAAAGUAUCGCUAUAGACCGUUUUUGUUGUAGUGACUUUUGAGAGAAGUCC